GACGAACGCUGGCGGCGUGCUUAACACAUGCAAGUCGAGCGGUAAGGCCCUUUCGGGGGUACACGAGCGGCGAACGGGUGAGUAACACGUGGGUGACCUGCCCUCAGCUCUGGGAUAAGCCUGGGAAACCGGGUCUAAUACUGGAUAUGACUCCAUGACGCAUGUUGUGGGGUGGAAAGCCUUGUGCGGCUGAGGAUGGGCCCGCGGCCUAUCAGCUUGUUGGUGGGGUGANGGCCUACCAAGGCGACGACGGGUAGCCGGCCUGAGAGGGCGACCGGCCACACUGGGACUGAGACACGGCCCAGACUCCUACGGGAGGCAGCAGUGGGGAAUCUUGCGCAACGGGCGAAAGCCUGACGCAGCGACGCCGCGUGAGGGAUGACGGCCUGGUGUAA
rnacentral:rRNA from 1 species